UUUUUGGAGAGUUUGAUCUUGGCUCAGAGUGAACGCUGGCGGUAUGCCUAACACAUGCAAGUCGAACGGAUCUUAGUUGCCCGCAAGGGUAAUUAAGAUUAGUGGCAAACGGGUGAGUAACACGUAGGUAAUUUACCUUUAACAUGAACAUAACCUUGAGAAAUUGAGGCUAAUAUUCAAUAGUCUUAGCAAUACGAAAGUGUAGCUAAGUAAAGUUUGGGUUAAACUAAACAGUUAAAGAUAAGCCUGCGGUCUAUCAGCUAGUUGGCAGGGUAAAAGCCUACCAAGGCUACGACGGAUAGCCGGCCUGAAAGGGUGAUCGGCCACAUUGGCACUGAGAUACGGGCCAGACUCCUACGGGAGGCAGCAGUGGGGAAUUUUGGACAAUGGACGCAAGUCUGAUCCAGCAAUACCGCGUGAGGGAUGAAGGUCUUCGGAUUGUAAACCUCUUUUUUGGAAGAUGAAGGCCCAAGCAAUUGGGAUUGACAGUACUCCAAGAAUAAGCCACGGCUAACUACGUGCCAGCAGCCGCGGUAAUACGUAGGUGGCGAGCGUUAUUCGGAAUUACUAGGUGUAAAGAACAGGUAGGUGGUCAAGUAAGUUGGAAGUGAAAGCCCCUGAUAAAUCAGGGGAGGUAUUUCAAUACUGCUUGGCUUGAGUGUGGGAGGGGGAACCGGAAUUCCUGGUGUAGCGGUGAAAUGCGUAGAUAUCAGGAGGAAUACCGAUGGCGAAAGCGGGUUCCUAGUCCACUACUGACACUGAGCUGUGAAGGCGCGGGGAGCAAACAGGAUUAGAUACCCUGGUAGUCCGCGCGGUAAACUAUGCUCACUUGGUAUGGGAGGUAUCGACCCCUUCUGUGCCGUAGCUAACGCGUUAAGUGAGCCACCUGGGAAGUACGGCCGCAAGGUUGAAACUCAAAAGAAUUGACGGGGGCCCGCACAAGUGGUGGAGCAUGUGGUUUAAUUCGACGCAACGCGAAAAACCUUACCCGGGCUUGAAGUUCUGAUUGUAUCCUAACGAAAGAUUGGGAGACCCGCAAGGGAGUCAGAAGAGGUGCUGCAUGGUUGUCGUCAGCUCGUGCCGUGAGGUGUAUGGUUAAGUCCCAUAACGAGCGCAACCCUUGUCCUAUGUUGCUAUCCUCGCAAGAGGAGCACUCUUAGGAGACUACCCUGGUUAACAGGGAUGGAAGUGAGGAUGACGUCAAAUCAUCAUGGCCUUUAUGUCCGGGGCUACACACGUGCUACAAUGGCAGCUACAGAGGGAUGCCAAACCGUAAGGUGGAGCAAAUCCCCUAAAAGCGGCCUCAGUUCAGAUUGAGGGCUGCAACUCGCCCUCAUGAAGUCGGAAUCACUAGUAAUCGCUGAUCAGCAGGCAGCGGUGAAUACGUUCCCGGGCCUUGUACACACCGCCCGUCACACCAUGGAAGCUAAUUGCAACAGAUGUUUUAACGUAAGUUGGAAUGAAGUUGUGAUUAGUGACUGGGGUGAAGUCGUAACAAGGUAGGCGUACGAGAACGUGCGCCUGGAUCACCUCCUUU
rnacentral:rRNA from 1 species